CUCCCCUCCUCUCUAUAUAAGCUGCUACUGAGACACAGAUACACUUGUCUGUUAUUUCCGUUACACACUAGAACCUGCAGCCAUUUUGCACAAAUUGCCUACAAGACAAUUAGAAUAAGUGCCUGGGAGCUCCUGAUUGGAGUACAAACAUGACUGCCAAUGACAUCAUCCCUCCUCUCCUCUCUAUAUCUAGUGGUUACAAUGAUAUACAACCGACAGUAUUUGCCGAAUGGACUUUACUGGUUGUCUAUGUUUAAGGAAGCCUACUUGGUUUUUGGGGCAUCAAGGAUUUCCCUGUGAUGGACCGACAAUUUAUGGAGGCCAGCUUCCUGCAGAAACCUGAGACCAUCAGUGGGGUCAUCGGAAGGGGCCUUAUAGAAAUCUUUAAAGUACGACGUCAUAAUCGCUUUAAUUUUGGCGGGGUCUUUAGUCCAGCCUUGUGGGGAUUUCAGUUUUGGGAUAAAGUAGUAUAAAAGAGAUUUGCAGUGUGGGUCAAUGAAUUAUGUGCGUUUUCUGUCAAUAAAGUAUCAAACAGUUGCUUGGUCUCUUUGUAUUUAUUUUUGUCCUCGGGGAGAUUAGACAACUUGAAGGCGCUAUAAUGUAGGGUUAAUUGUCUCUGUAAAAAAGCGUAUUUAUCAGAAUAAAGUUUUCUUUUCCUGAUUAAGUAAGAUAUAAUAUGCCCCCUCAAGACAGGUUUCGAUGCAGCCCAAAGCAGAGAGGAGUCAUCCCAAUGUUCAAUAUUAUCAUCAAUGUAGUUAGCCCAACAGGAUUUCAAAAAAAGGGCAAAGUCAUCAUUAGAUUUUAAAUAUGCCGGAAAUCUCCAAUUAGAGGAGCGCAGCAGUGGUUGUGACAAUUUGAGGUGUAUUGAAAUCAGAGCAUGAUCAGAGAUAUCUAUGUGGGAUAUUGCAGCUGUAGUUAGGAGAGGCAGCAGCGUCUGUGAGACAAAGAUGUAAUCUAUCCUAGAAUGAGUUCCAUGAACUCCUGAAUAAAAGGUGUAGUCUUUGGUGGUAGGGUGUAGGUGGCGAUAGGAGUCAUAGAGGUGUAAGAGCUCACAGAGAGUAUGUAGAGGUUUGGCCUUCGUGUCAUUGUGUGAGGUAGGUUUACCGGAUUUAUCCAUGUAGGAGUCCCAAAGUACGUUGGCAUCGCCACCCAGGAUAAGGUUAGUCGCCCCCCAGGAGUCAAGCUUCUGCAAAAUAUCUGUAAAAAAGAAUGUAUUAUCGAUGUUAGGAGCAUAAAUGUUAACAAGUAUACAGUACAUUUUGAAUCUCUAUAUCGGCUAUCAAGUAUCGACCCCUCU